rnacentral:rRNA from 1 species
UUUUAGGUUUAACCUGCUCACUGAUUUAUUGAAGAGCCGCAGUAUUUUGACUGUGCGAAGGUAGCAUAAUAAUUAGUUUCUUGAUUAGAAGCUGGAAUGAAUGGUUGGACGAGAAAGUUACUGUCUCUCUAAAAGUUUUUUUUGAAUUUUACUUUUAAGUUAAAAGGCUUAAAUUUUUUUAAAAGACGAGAAGACCCUAUAGAGUUUUAUAUUUAUAUAAAUUUAUUUAAUUUUGGUAUUUUUAUUUCUAAAUUUAUUAAGUAUUUGGUUGGGGUGAUUGGAAAAUUUAAUUAACUUUUCUUUGUUUUUAACACUUUUUUGUGAAUUUUUGAUCUUAUUUGUUUGAUUAAUAGAAUAAAUUACCUUAGGGAUAACAGCGUAAUUUUCUAUUAAAGUUCUUAUUAAAUAGGUUAGUUGCGACCUCGAUGUUGGAUUAAAGUUUAUUUUGGGUGUAGAAGCUGAAAAUUAAGUCGUCGUAGAAGCUGAAAAUUAAGUCGUCUUGGAUUAAAGUUUAUUUUGGGUGUAGAAGCUGAAAAUUAAGUCGUCGUAGAAGCUGAAAAUUAAGUCGUC